UAGCAUAUCAAUAAGCGGAGGAAAAGAAACCAACAGGGAUUGCCUCAGUAACGGCGAGUGAAGCGGCAACAGCUCAAAUUUGAAAUCUGGCGGCCUCUGGGCCGUCCGAGUUGUAAUUUGAAGAGGAUGCUUUUGGCGAGGCGCCUUCCGAGUGCCCUGGAACGGGACGCCACAGAGGGUGAGAGCCCCGUAUGGUUGGACGCCGAGCCUCUGUAAAGCUCCUUCGACGAGUCGAGUAGUUUGGGAAUGCUGCUCAAAAUGGGAGGUAAACCCCUUCUAAAGCUAAAUACUGGCCAGAGACCGAUAGCGCACAAGUAGAGUGAUCGAAAGAUGAAAAGCACUUUGAAAAGAGAGUUAAACAGCACGUGAAAUUGUUGAAAGGGAAGCGCUUGCGACCAGACUUGUGCCCGUCGAAUCAGCCGCCGCUCGUCGGCGGCGCACUUCGGCGGGCUCAGGCCAGCAUCAGUUCGCUGCAGGGGGAGAAAGGCGAUGGGAAUGUGGCUCUUCGGAGUGUUAUAGCCCGCCGCGCAAUACCCCUCGGCGGACUGAGGACCGCGCAUCUGCAAGGAUGCUGGCGUAAUGGUCGUCAGCGACCCGUCUUGAAACACGGACCAAGGAGUCGUCCUAAUAUGCGAGUGUUCGGGUGUAAAACCCCUGCGCGUAAUGAAAGUGAACGGAGGUGAGAGCUUCGGCGCAUCAUCGACCGAUCCUGAUGUUCUCGGAUGGAUUUGAGUAAGAGCAUAUUGGGCCGGGACCCGAAAGAAGGUGAACUAUGCCUGUAUAGGGGUAAAGCCAGAGGAAACUCUGGUGGGAGGCUCGCAGCGGUUCUGACGUGCAAAUCGAUCGUCAAAUAUGGGCAUGGGGGCGAAAGACUAAUCGAACCUUCUAGUAGCUGGUUUCCGCCGAA
rnacentral:rRNA from 1 species